rnacentral:lncRNA from 1 species
GUUACGCAGUAUGCUCCAGCCUCCUGGCCAUCAUCAACAAAUACGCCAUCACCAAAUUCAACUACCCAGGCCUCUUAACCGCGCUCCAGUACCUCACCUCCGCACUCGGCGUCUACGUCUUUGGGAAAUUAGGGUUUCUCCACCACGACCCCUUCACCCUCCCCACCGCCAAAAAAUUCUUCCCCGCCGCCCUCGUCUUCUACCUCGCCAUCUUCACCAACACCAAUCUUCUCCGCCAUGCCAACGUCGACACCUUCAUCGUCUUCCGAUCCCUCACCCCUCUCCUCGUCGCCCUCGCCGACACCGUCUUCCGCAGCCAGCCCUGCCCCUCCAACCUCACCUUCCUCUCCCUCCUCGUCAUCCUCGCCGGCGCCUUCGGCUACGUCGCCACCGACUCCGCCUUCACCCUCACCGCCUACUCCUGGGCCUUCGCCUACCUCAUCACCAUCACCACCGAGAUGGUCUACAUCAAGCACAUGGUCAUGAGCCUCGGCCUCAACACAUGGGGCUUCGUCUUCUACAACAACCUCCUCUCUCUUAUGAUGGCUCCCUU